AGUGAACGCUGGCGGUAGGCCUAACACAUGCAAGUCGAACGGCAGCACAGUAAGAGCUUGCUCUUACGGGUGGCGAGUGGCGGACGGGUGAGGAAUACAUCGGAAUCUACUUUUUCGUGGGGGAUAACGUAGGGAAACUUACGCUAAUACCGCAUACGACCUACGGGUGAAAGCAGGGGAUCUUCGGACUUUGCGCGAUUGAAUGAGCCGAAGUCGGAUUAGCUAGUUGGCGGGGUAAAGGCCCACCAAGGCGACGAUCCGUAGCUGGUCUGAGAGGAUGAUCAGCCACACUGGAACUGAGACACGGUCCAGACUCCUACGGGAGGCAGCAGUGGGGAAUAUUGGACAAUGGGCGCAAGCCUGAUCCAGCCAUACCGCGUGGGUGAAGAAGGCCUUCGGGUUGUAAAGCCCUUUUGUUGGGAAAGAAAAGCAGCAGGUUAAUACCCCGCUGUUCUGACGGUACCCAAAGAAUAAGCACCGGCUAACUUCGUG
rnacentral:rRNA from 1 species